rnacentral:rRNA from 1 species
UACGGAGGGAGCUAGCGUUGUUCGGAAUUACUGGGCGUAAAGCGCGCGUAGGCGGCUUUUCAAGUCAGGGGUGAAAUCCCGGGGCUCAACCCCGGAACUGCCCUUGAAACUGGAUGGCUAGAAUACUGGAGAGGUGAGUGGAAUUCCGAGUGUAGAGGUGAAAUUCGUAGAUAUUCGGAAGAACACCAGUGGCGAAGGCGACUCACUGGACAGUUAUUGACGCUGAGGUG